GUCUCAUAAGCUGCAGGUUACAUUCAUUCUCCUGUAAUUCCUUCUCCCAGUUUGAUCAGUGGAAUUCAGCCAGCACCAUUCAGAAGAUGCCCCCAUGUCCCUUCUUGUUUUGAAGGUCUGCACUGGUCUGUGUCGUAAGAGGAAUAUGAUUAUUCCUCAGUUUAGACAUGAGAAAGCUGAGGUUUAAAUAGCUUGUCCACGCCACUAACUUAGUAACUACGGAAAGGAGCCCUUGAGCCUGAUGCAGACCAUGGCUCUUUCUUGCCUCCGGUACUUCCCAAGACUUGGAGCAGCCCCAGGUUCUGCCUGGGGGGCCUCUGGACCACCUCAGCCUUAUCUGCUUUAUAUAUGGGGUGCCUUGGAAGCUCUCUUGUGAGAGUUCUGCUUUUAACAGUGAAGCCAAUCGCACCACACAUUGGUGGCUCCUCUUGUCCAUUUGUGUUGGAAUUAAGACUGCACCUGUUCUUCUAGCAAGUGAAGUGCCUCACGGAGUUACCUCUUUGGAAGGGCUUGCUAAGAGCAGUCUUAAACUCAGCACAUACUUUAUUCCAUGGCCGUGAGUAUGAAAUGCAGUGAUAUUCUUGAAAUAAUUUUGUGAACUGUAAAACUGCAAAAGUUAGUUUGACAUUGGAUUAAUUCUCACAGAAUGAGGAAUGCUAUUGCUGUGCAUAUGAAGCACUCCACAUAAUUACCAGCAGAAUGGCCAAGAACGUUUCGAAAUAUGGAUAGGAAAUUCAGUCUGGAAAAAUGCUAGUAAAUACUUAGGGACAUUAGAAAAUUGGCAGGGUUUUGAGUUGGCAAAAUUAAUCCAACUAUUUUUCAAAUGCUUGGGUUCAACAAACUAAAAUGAGUUUGCCAAGCACCUUUUCUUAUAAAUUUCGCAGUCUUUGUUUGUUUCCGCUAGCACGUGAUCCAUAAGCUUCUGAUUCAUUGACACUUAAUUCACUAAAAGACUAUUUGUUAGCAGAGCAGCAAUCAGAUGUUUUGGAAACCUGCUUGGCCCACUGCAAAGACGCUGCCCAGAUUCUGUUCUUCAGAAUCUUUGCUAGCUGGGUACAUAAUAGACAUCUGAGCGUAUUUAAGAAUUGUUUUGUCAAACUCCUAUCAUUUUUUUAAAAUUUUUUAUUGCAUUUUAGGUU
rnacentral:lncRNA from 1 species